ACCGACACGCGACAAAGAAAAUCACUGGUGUGCGAUGCGACGCGAUGCUCUCGCGGCCUCUAGUCUAAGCACCCCCGACGACGUCGGCGACUCACCGCCGGCGAGCCGAUCCACGCCGCCGCCCCAUUUCCCGCCUGUGUCGUGCAUGUGAUCUGGCGCCCUCUCCGGAUCCUCUUCUUCCAUGGGAUUGGGGGGCAUGAGAGGCGGCAUCGGGGGAGGGGGCGCCGGCUCGGGCGAGAGGUGGAGGUGGAUCCUCUUCCUCUCGCUGGUCUCCGUCUCCUUCCUCCUCUCGUUCCUCUUCCUCUUCCUCUCCGCCUACUCCUCCCCGACGCGCCUCCGCCUCCCUGGGCUCACCACCGCCCGCGCCGCCGCCGGAGUCCGCCGCGGCCCCGACGCGCUCCCCUGCCUCGCCUACCUCCUCAUCGGCGGCCGGGGCGACGGGCACCGCCUCCUACGACUCCUCCUCGCAGUCUACCACCCACGCAACCGCUACAUCCUCCACCUCUCCGCCGACGCCUCCCACGAAGAGCGCCGGGACCUUGCUGCUGGGGUCGCCGCCGCGGCGCCCGCCGCUGUCUCUUUCGACAACGUCGCUCUUGUGGGCACGCCUACCGCGGGGACACCCGUCGGGUCGUCGGGCCUCGCCGGCACGUUACGCGCCGCUGCUGUCCUGCUCCGCCUCCACCCCGACUGGGACUGGUUCAUCACCCUCAACGCCGCCGAUUAUCCCCUCGUCACCCAGGACGAUUUGAUUCAUGCCUUGUCGUAUGUUCCAAGGGAAUUUAACUUCAUUGAUCACACUAGUGACAUUGGACAGAAAGAAUCUGAAAAAGUGCAAUCGAUGAUAGUGGAUGCUGGAAUAUACUUGUCAGGGAGGACCAACUUCUUCCGAGCCACACAGAAACGACCAAGUCCUGAUGCUUUCAAGUUCUUCACAGGUUCUCCAUGGGUUAUUCUGAACCGACGGUUUAUAGAGUACUGUGUUCUUGGUUGGGAGAAUCUUCCUCGGCUUCUUCUCAUGUACUUCAACAAUGUAAUGCUACCUCAGGAAGGAUAUUUCCACUCAGUCAUAUGCAACUCGCUUGACUUCCGUAAUUCCACUGUUAACAAUGACUUGAGGUACAAGGUGUGGGAUGAUCCACCUCAGACAGAGCCCCUUUUUCUCAGCAUGGCACAUUAUGAUAAGAUGGUGGACAGUGGACAGCCUUUUGCAAGGCGGUUUCAAGCGAAUGGACCGUUGCUGGACAAGAUCGAUGAGAAACUACUUAAGCGUCCGGGCCAUGGGCCUGUUCCUGGUGCCUGGUGCGCAGGAAGGAAGAGCUGGUUCAUUGACCCAUGUUCCCAGUGGAGCGAUGUGAAUGUUGUGAAACCUGGUCCUCAAGCCUUGAAGUUGCAGCAAUAUAUCAAUCGGACCUUGGAAGAAGCAGAUUCUGGCGCAAAAUCAUGCAGGCCAUAGCUGCAUUUGAUUCCAAUAGCCUCACAUCCUAUGGCUGAAAGCUUCGAGGUUUCCAUUCCAGCAUCAAGGUUCUCUGCUCUAGUGCUUUGCAGAAUAAGCAGCUAUUUCCUCCCUUAACUGAAAUUAGGACUUCUUGCAUAUCGAGUGCUCUUUCUAGACCCCUCCCACCCUUAAUAUUGGCUCCUAAGUUUCAGUUAGGUCUAGGAAUCUAUAUUUGUGGCUCCAUCAUGACAUUGAAGGCAUAGAGAUGAGAGCAUGCUAAUUGAACCAUAUUGGUUGUAUUGUAUGAGCUGGUCACUUAUUGAAUGACCUAUGCUGGCGCUGAGUUCAUAUUUGACAGAACUGGAGAGGAAAAAGCAGAACAUGUGGUCUGUUACUAGCACCGUGUUCUCAUCACUGGAAUGAGCUUCUAUCUGUCCAUUCCCUUCAGGACUUGCAUUUACCUACUCCCUCUGUUUCAGAACAUCGGUCCAUUUUAAUGGAAAUUGUCAUCUCUGUGAAUCAUACUAGUUCAUAUUGGAAGUUCACUAAAAUAUCAACAGCACCGUGUCUUCAAAUUUGUACUUUAUGCCACUAGUUGAGUGCACUAAAGGAGGUUAAAAGCUAUGCAAUUUAACGGUGAUGUAAUUUCUGU
rnacentral:rRNA from 1 species